rnacentral:rRNA from 1 species
UACGUAGGGCGCAAGCGUUGUCCGGAAUUAUUGGGCAUAAAGAGCUCGUAGGCGGCUUGUCACGUCGGGUGUGAAAGCCCGGGGCUUAACCCCGGGUCUGCAUUCGAUACGGGCUAGCUAGAGUGUGGUAGGGGAGAUCGGAAUUCCUGGUGUAGCGGUGAAAUGCGCAGAUAUCAGGAGGAACACCGGUGGCGAAGGCGGAUCUCUGGGCCAUUACUGACGCUGAGGAGCGAAAGCGUGGGGAGCGAACAGG